UGGAGCAAUGAAAAGAGUGUGCCAUAAACCAAGGUUAUGAUUAAUCUAAUUCUGUGUAUCUGGCAUCCAUU
rnacentral:snoRNA from 1 species